rnacentral:rRNA from 1 species
AAUUGACGGGGGCCCGCACAAGCGGUGGAUGAUGUGGAUUAAUUCGAUGCAACGCGAAAAACCUUACCUGGUCUUGACAUGUCUAGAAUCCCUUAGAGAUAGGGGAGUGCCGCAAGGAACUAGAACACAGGUGCUGCAUGGCUGUCGUCAGCUCGUGUCGUGAGAUGUUGGGUUAAGUCCCGCAACGAGCGCAACCCUUGCCAUUAGUUGCUACCAUUUAGUUGAGCACCCUAAUGGGACUGCCGGUGACAAACCGGAGGAAGGUGGGGAUGACGUCAAGUCCUCAUGGCCCUUAUGACCAGGGCUUCACACGUCAUACAAUGGUCGGUACAGAGGGUCGCCAACCCGCGAGGGGGAGCCAAUCCCAGAAAACCGAUCGUAGUCCGGAUCGGAGUCUGCAACUCGACUCCGUGAAGUCGGAAUCGCUAGUAAUCGCGGAUCAGCAUGUCGCGGUGAAUACGUUCCCGGGCCUUGAACACACCACCAUCCAUAUGUCUGUUGCUCCCACGCGAGGCAGCAGUGGGGAAUCUUGGACAAUGGGCGCAAGCCUGACUCUCUAGCAAUGCCGCGUGGGUGAAGAAGGCCUUCGGGUUGUAAAGCCCUUUUGUUUGGGAGCAAAUCCUGCCGGUUAAUACCUGGUGGGGAUGAGAGUACCAAAAGAAUCAGCACCGGCUAACUACGUGCCAGCAGCCGCGGUAAUACGUAGGGUGCAAGCGUUAAUCGGAAUUACUGGGCGUAAAGCGUGCGCAGGUGGUUUUACAAGACCGACGUGAAAGCCCCGGGCUCAACCUGGGAACUGCGUUGGUGACUGUAAGGCUAGAGUGUGGCAGAGGGGGGUGGAAUUCCACGUGUAGCAGUGAAAUGCGUAGAUAUGUGGAGGAACACCGAUGGCGAAGGCAGCCCCCUGGGUUAACACUGACACUCAUGCACGAA